rnacentral:tRNA from 1 species
GGGGCCUUAGCUCAGCUGGUUAGAGCAGUGGACUCAUAAUCCAACGGUCGUGGGUUCAAGUCCCACAGGCCCCA